rnacentral:rRNA from 1 species
UACGAAGGGGGCUAGCGUUGCUCGGAAUUACUGGGCGUAAAGCGCACGUAGGCGGCUUGUUAAGUCGGAGGUGAAAUCCUGGAGCUCAACUCCAGAACUGCCUUCGAUACUGGCGAGCUCGAGUCCGGGAGAGGUGAGUGGAACUGCGAGUGUAGAGGUGAAAUUCGUAGAUAUUCGCAAGAACACCAGUGGCGAAGGCGGCUCACUGGCCCGGUACUGACGCUGAGGUGCGAAAGCGUGGGGAUCAAACAGG